rnacentral:lncRNA from 13 species
CCCAGUUCAUCCCAGUUCACACCAGUUCAGCCCAGUGCCCCCAAAGUGCCGCCCCACUUCUCGUCAUCGCCCGCGGCCGCUGCGCACCAGUAUAAACCAGUUGGGACCAGUACGGACCGGUGAGCCUCAGAGAGCCUCCCCAGUUCAUCCCAGUUCAUCCCAGUUCACACCAGUUCAGCCCAGUGCCUCCCCAGUUCUCAUCCCAGUUCAAACCAGUUCAUCCCAGUUCAUCCCAGUGCCCUCAAAGUGAACCCACAUUGAAUUCCAGUUCAUCCCAGUUCAUCCCAGUUCAAACCAGUUCAGUUCAAACCAGUUCAUCCCAGUGCCCUCAAAGGGAGCCCACACUGAAUCCCAGUUCAUCCCAGUUCACACCAGUUCAGACCAGUUCAUCCCCAGUUCAAACCAGUUCAAACCAGUGCCCUCAAAGUGCAACCACACUGAAUCACAGUUCAUCCCAGUUCAAACCAGUUCAUUCCAGUUCAAACCAGUGCCCCCAAAGUGCCUCCCCAGUUCCCGUCAUCACCCGCAGCCGCUGCACACCAGUACAAACCAGUUGGCACCAGUAUGAACCAGUUUGGACCAGUUUGCACCAAUGACCUCCCAGUGACUUCCCAGUGGCCUCCCCAGUCCAUCCCAGUCCAUCCCAGUUCAUCCCAGUUCAUCCCAGUGCCCUCAAUGUGAACCCACAUUGAAUCCCAGUUCACAGCAGUUCAAACCAGUUCAAACCAGUUCAUCCCAGUUCACACCAGUGCGCCCAAAGAGCCUCCCCAGUUUCCAUCAUUGCCUGCAGCCGCUGCGCACCAGUAUAAACCAGUUUGGACCAGUACAGACUGGUGACGCCCAGAGAGCCUCCCCAGUUCAUCCCCAGUUCAAACCAGUUCACACCAGUUCAUCCCAGUUCAUCCCAGUGCCCUCAAAGUGAACCCACAUUAAAUCCCCGUUCAUCCCAGUUCACACCAGUUCAUCCCCAGUUCAAACCAGUUCAUCCCAGUUCAUCCCAGUGCCCUCAAAGGGCAACCACAUUGAAUCCCAGUUCAUCCCAGUUCACACCAGUUCACACCAGUUCAUCCCCAGUUCAAACCAGUUCAUCCCAGUUCAUCCCAGUGCCCUCAAAGUGAACCCACACUGAAUCCCCAUUCAUCCCAGUUCAAACCAGUUCAGACUAGUUCAUCCCCAGUUCAAACCAGUUCAAACCAGUUCAUCCCAGUGCCCUCAAAGUGCAACCGCAUUGAAUCCCAGUUCAUCCCAGUUCAAACCAGUUCACACCAGUUCAUCCCAGUGCCCUCAAAGUGAACCCACACUGAAUCCCAGUUCAUCCCAGUUCACACCAGUUCAAACCAGUUCAUCCCCAGUUCAAACCAGUUCAAACCAGUUCAUCCCAGUGCCCUCAAAGUGCAACCACAUUGAAUCCCAGUUCAUCCCAGUUCAAACCAGUUCACACCAGUUCAAACCAGUUCAUCCCAGUGCCCUCAAAGUGAACCCACACUGAAUCCCAGUUCAUCCCAGUUCACACCAGUUCAGACCAGUUCAUCCCAGUGCCCCCAAAGUGCCUCCCCAGUUCUUGGCAUUGCCUGCAGCUGCUGCGCACCAGUAUAAACCAUUUUGGACCAGUACAGACCAGUUUGCACCAGUUCACACCAGUGCAGCCUCAGCGAUUUCCCAGUGGCCUCCCCAGUUCACACCAGUUCAAACCAGUUUGGACCAGUUCACACCAGUUUGGACCAGUGACCUCCCAGUGAUCUCCCAGUGACCUCACAAAGCCUCCCCAGUUCAUCCCAGUUCAGCCCAGUUCACACCAGUUCAGCCCAGUGUUUCCAAAGCGAAUCCCAGUGAAUCCCAGUUCACACCAGUUUGGACCAGUGACCUCCCAGUGACCUCUCACUUCCCACCCACUCCCUCCCAGUUGCUCCCAGUUCAUCCCAGUUUCCUCCCAGUUGCUCCCAGUUCCCCUCCCAGUGCCUCCCAGUCCCUCCCAGUGUCCCCAGUUUCCACUCAGUUGCUCCCAGUUUCCUCCCAGUCCCUACCAGUUCACCCCAGUCCCUCCCAGUGCCCCCAGUUCACCCUCCCAGUGCCCCCAAUUCACCCUCCCAGUACAAACCAGUUCCACCCCGUCGAUUGCCUCCCACUCACCCCAGUUCCUCCCAGUCCCUCCCAGUGUCCCCAGUUC